GAUGAACGCUGGCGGCAGGCCUAACACAUGCAAGUCGAGCGGACGGAUAAGGAGCUUUAUCUUCUACCGGUGGCGGGGGACGGAUGGGUAACACAUGGAUCCGUUACCUAUAAGACGGGGAUAACAACGUGGGACCAGUGCCAAUACCGAUUAAUAUAUUGAACCGCAAUGCUCAUUAGUGAAAGGCGGUUUAAGUGUCACAUUUAGACGAUUACGGACCGCAUUAGGUAGGUGGUAAGGUAACGGCUGACCAACGCAAGGAUUCGGAGCGGAGCGGAGAGGAUAGUCAGCCACACUGGAACUGUGACACGAUCCAGACUCCUACGGGAGGCAGCGGAGGGGAAUCUUCCACAAUGGACGAAAGCCUGACCUGGCCACGCCGCGUGGGGGAUGAAGGUCUUCGGUUCGUAAAUCUCUGUUGUUUGUGAAGAAGAAGAGUAAGAGUAACUCGUCGCGUCCUGACGGUACCUAAUGAAUAAGCCACGGCUAACUACGUG
rnacentral:rRNA from 1 species